rnacentral:tRNA from 1 species
GGGCUCGUGGCUCAGCUGGGAGAGCGCCGCGUUCGCAUCGCGGAGGCCGAGGGUUCGAAUCCCUUCGAGUCCA